GACGAACGCUGGCGGCGUGCCUAAUACAUGCAAGUAGAACGCACAGUUUAUACCGUAGCUUGCUACACCAUAGACUGUGAGUUGCGAACGGGUGAGUAACGCGUAGGUAACCUGCCUGGUAGCGGGGGAUAACUAUUGGAAACGAUAGCUAAUACCGCAUAAUAUUAAUUAUUGCAUGAUAAUUAAUUGAAAGGUGCAAUUGCACCACUACCAGAUGGACCUGCGUUGUAUUAGCUAGUAGGUGAGGUAACGGCUCACCUAGGCGACGAUACAUAGCCGACCUGAGAGGGUGAUCGGCCACACUGGGACUGAGACACGGCCCAGCCUCCUACGGGAGGCAGCAGUAGGGAAUCUUCGGCAAUGGACGAAAGUCUGACCGAGCAACGCCGCGUGAGUGAAGAAGGUUUUCGGAUCGUAAAGCUCUGUUGUAAGCGAAGAACGGGUGUGAGAGUGGAAAGUUCACACUGUGCCGGUAUCUUACCAGAAAGGGACAGCUAACUCCGU
rnacentral:rRNA from 1 species